UACGUAGGGUGCAAGCGUUGUCCGGAUUUAUUGGGCGUAAAGAGCGUGUAGGCGGUUUGGUAGGUCCGCUGUGAAAACUCGAGGCUCAACCUCGAGACGCCGGUGGAAACCAUCAGGCUAGAGUCCGGAAGAGGAGAGUGGAAUUCCUGGUGUAGCGGUGAAAUGCGCAGAUAUCAGGAAGAACACCAAUGGCGAAGGCAGCUCUCUGGGACGGUACUGACGCUGAGACGCGAAAGCGUGGGGAGCGAACAGG
rnacentral:rRNA from 1 species